AGUUGGUCUUUAGGAGUAAUGCAGCAUGGUCAUGUGUUCCUGAACCUUGUACAGGGCUCCAUGCAGGCAGGUCAUUGCUUUUCCAUCCAUAGUACCCACCGCUGGACAAAUGAUGGACAAUCUUCAAUGGAAAGGUAACCUAGUCACGACCAAAUCAUCUAAAUGGAACGGCUCUCAAAAUGUCUGUGGUUGGAAUUAAAGGAGUCUGUGCGCUGUUGGCUGCUCGCGGUAGAUACUUCUCCUAAUGCUUGGCUAUCUCUCCACACACUAUGGGUAUUUUUAGUGGCCCUUAUCUCUUUAUGAAACAUGAGGCGCACUGCAGAGGCUUACGUUACACACCUUGGAUGCUUUGGCUUAGGAUAAUGCAGGCAUGUGGAGUGUGUGUGUGUGUGUGUGUGUGAGUGAGUGGAGGGGUUUGGUGAACUAAGAAGAAAGAAAUAGAAUUAUUUCCUCCCUUUUCCGGAGAGAUUUUGGCUGAGUCAAAUCCAGAGUUUUUUUGUUUUUUUCCCCCAUCAAACUGUUUCAACUGGCUGUGAAAGAGGGGUGAAGUGUGAAUGGGCACUGUGGCAGUGGAAAUGGUGAGGAAGAGGAGAGCAGUUGAAAGGGAAGGAAAGGUGGACA